rnacentral:rRNA from 1 species
UACGGAGGGUGCAAGCGUUAUCCGGAUUCACUGGGUUUAAAGGGUGCGUAGGUGGGUUGGUAAGUCAGUGGUGAAAUACUUUCGCUUAACGAAGGAACUGCCAUUGAUACUACCAGUCUUGAAUACAGUGGAGGUAGGCGGAAUGCGUCAUGUAGCGGUGAAAUGCUUAGAUAUGACGCAGAACACCAAUUGCGAAGGCAGCGUGCUACACUGUUAUUGACACUGAGGCACGAAAGCGUGGGGAUCAAACAGG